ensembl:lncRNA
GGGAGUUCGUGGCCCUGCAGUAAACCUUUCUCUGCUCCAACUCCGUUUCGGUUUGUUUGAUCUCACUGUGCAUCAGGCACCUGAACCUGUCUUUGGUAACAGUAAGCCCUUGAUAGGUUUGUUGUGUCCUACAGCUCCAGGAGUUGGUGAUGGACAGGGAAGCCUGGCGUGCUGCAGUCCGUGGGGUCGCAAAGAGUCGGACAUGACUGAGCGACUGAACUGAAAUGAACAGAUUCACCAGGUGAAAGUAAUCCAGGCUUCCUUGCCUUUGGCUCAGCCAUUUUCCAGCCUAAGAGAGGUCCUUUGCCUCCUUCGUUCCCAGAAUCAUCUGCUGACCAGUCUGAGGUUAAACAAACCAUUUUUUCAGCUUCCCUCCGCCAACUGGCUACAGAGAGAUAGAUUGAAGUUCAAUGAUGAAUACAAUUCCUCAUUGAGAGGAUACUGGCUCAUCAGCAUGCACCAAUGGCAUGCCUCACGUUCAGAAAAACAAAGAUGAGGGCAGCUAUGGAAAGCAAUUGAUAUUCCUGCCCAGGUUGGAGUUGAUGUGCAAAUGGAUAAACACAGUGUUUCCAUUCCGAAGAAGCUAUAUGGAAUCACACCAGCAGGGGUUUGAUCCUGAAUUUCCUUCUGUUUUUAGCUCUGUUGUCAUUUCAGAAGCUGAGAAACCAAGAAUCUCCUAGAGAUGUAUUAAGGGAUUCCAACCCCCAAGAGAGAACGAUGCAACAAUUAGCAAUCACAUAAAAAGUAAACAAUAAAGCAUGUAACAAUACAAGGGGGGGUAUUACAAAAUGGAUUUAUAAAUGUGGGGUGGUAUUAGUUUAGUAUGACUUUGUUACUCACUAUUAUUAACAUAGUGC